GACGAACGCUGGCGGCGUGCCUAAUACAUGCAAGUAGAACGCUGAAGGAGGAGCUUGCUUCUCUGGAUGAGUUGCGAACGGGUGAGUAACGCGUAGGUAACCUGCCUGGUAGCGGGGGAUAACUAUUGGAAACGAUAGCUAAUACCGCAUAACAGUAGAUAUCGCAUGAUAUCUACUUGAAAGGUGCAAUUGCAUCACUACCAGAUGGACCUGCGUUGUAUUAGCUAGUUGGUGAGGUAACGGCUCACCAAGGCGACGAUACAUAGCCGACCUGAGAGGGUGACGGCCAACAGGGGGACAGAGACAGGGCGAGGACGCCAAGGGGAGGAAGCAGAAGGGAAUUUUGGGCAAGGGACGGAAGUCGGACGGGGAAACGCGGGGUGAGGAAAGAAGUUUUGGGAAGAGUAAAGCUGUGUUGAAAGAGAAGAACGAGUGUGGGAGUGGAAAGUUCAAACUGUGAGGGAUUCUAACCAGAAGGGGAAGGCAAGAUACGUG
rnacentral:rRNA from 1 species